rnacentral:rRNA from 1 species
UGAGGAAUAUUGCGCAAUGGACGAAAGUCUGACGCAGCCAUGCCGCGUGAAGGAUGACUGCCCUAUGGGUUGUAAACUUCUUUUGUAUGGGAAUAAACCCUCGAACGUGUUCGAGGCUGAAGGUACCAUAAGAAUAAGCACCGGCUAACUCCGUGCCAGCAGCCGCGGUAAUACGGAGGGUGCAAGCGUUAUCCGGAUUUAUUGGGUUUAAAGGGUCCGUAGGCGGGCUUAUAAGUCAGUGGUGAAAUCUCUCGGCUCAACCGAGAAACUGCCAUUGAUACUGUAGGUCUUGAGUAUGUAUGAAGUUGGCGGAAUGUGUGGUGUAGCGGUGAAAUGCUUAGAUAUCACACAGAACACCGAUUGCGAAGGCAGCUGACUAAUACAUAACUGACGCUGAGGG